rnacentral:tmRNA from 1 species
GGGGGCGAUCGGUAUCGACGGGGCCCUGGCGGGCUUGAAGUGGCGCGAAGAGGUCGUCGGCACCCUCUUAAAACAGCCGGCACAAGUAAAAUGCCAAUCCUAACAUGGCAAUGGCCGCCUAACUAAGGCAGCCGCGUUCGCCCCGGUUCGCCCGUGGGCCGGGGACGAACGUCAACACACGGGCUGGCCGACCAGUCCGCCGGGUGCGACGUCGGCGAGAAAAAGUCCCGGCUGGGCCGCCGGAAUCCUGUCGGUCGGGCCCCCGGCGGCCGAGACCCGAAAGACCGACUACUCGCGUAGAGGCUUCAGGUCCCGGGCAUCCGGACGUGGGUUCGAUUCCCACCGCCUCCACCA